CCCGUAGAGGCUCCUCUUCCUCGUUCCACUGCGAGACAUCAGACUGCACCUUUAGUUCAACUCCGCCUUCUUCCAGUUGAAGAGUUCCCUCCUCCCCCAUAUCUUCUUGAUUUGGAGAGUCUGCAUCGUCUCCAUCUCCCUCAGACCUAUUUGCUAAGCCGAUGAGAUCAUGCAGCUCGGGGGACAUGAAGUAAGGCCUUCCAGGUACUCCAGAAGAACCCUGAUGAUCUGGAUCACAGAUAGGAUCAGCGAGCCAAACGCUACAGAGCCCGUGUGAUACCUGACAAGGAUGAAGAGUUAAAAAAUAGCUAUAUCGAGAUGUCGGUCUGCACGCCCAGAUCACUGAUCGUCGCAUCAGCACCAGGGUCUCCAAUCAGAUUUUCAUACUCAAGCCACAUUCUCUACAGGCAAGGCAUAAGGAGAUUUACCGUAUGCUAUGACAAUAAGGACCAGGACAAUCAUGACCCAAACCAUGAUGCCUGCCAGGAAGCGCAGCAAGACUAUGAAGAGCCAGCUGAUAAGCAUGGCUACUAGCAGACCUCUAGAGAUGGGUCACGGACGUGCUGGAGCCGAUCCCAGGUGUCAUCGGGCAGGAGGCGGGGUGCACCCUGAACUGGUUGCCAGCCAAUCGCAGUGAAUUUCCAUUAUUUUCCAAAUGUUGUCAAGAACGUUACCACUGAGUUUUUACAGUAUAUUAUGCAAUGGGAUAAAAAUAAUUAUGCAUACUGUUCAAAUGCCCAACAUAAUCAUUAGUCUAUAAUUGUAAUUGUUAAUAAAUUAUGGCUUCAACAUUUGCUAUUUCAAUGUUUUUAUUGCAUCAACCUUGUAAUGGCGGACGCAGUUGCAGCCUGAAUCAAAGUACAUGAGAUUUUGAUGUGCCAUUGUCAAGAAUAUCUGUCUCUAUGGAUUUAUUCGCCUUUAUCAAUUCUGUUUUCCACCUUGGUUGAAAAAAAAAAAACCAGCCAAGUCUAUUAAACCAGAUUAAUCAGAUUUUAAAAGUCAAUUAAAACUCAGCACUCUAUUUUGUUUCAUAAUAAAACAGC